rnacentral:rRNA from 1 species
GAUGAACGCUGGCGGCGUGCCUAAUACAUGCAAGUCGAGCGAACGGAUGAGAAGCUUGCUUCUCUGAUGUUAGCGGCGGACGGGUGAGUAACACGUGGAUAACCUACCUAUAAGACUGGGAUAACUUCGGGAAACCGGAGCUAAUACCGGAUAAUAUUUUGAACCGCAUGGUUCAAAAGUGAAAGACGGUCUUGCUGUCACUUAUAGAUGGAUCCGCGCUGCAUUAGCUAGUUGGUAAGGUAACGGCUUACCAAGGCAACGAUGCAUAGCCGACCUGAGAGGGUGAUCGGCCACACUGGAACAGAGACACGGUCCAGACUCCUACGGGAGGCAGCAGUAGGGAAUCUUCCGCAAUGGGCGAAAGCCUGACGGAGCAACGCCGCGUGAGUGAUGAAGGUCUUCGGAUCGUAAAACUCUGUUAUUAGGGAAGAACAUAUGUGUAAGUAACUGUGCACAUCUUGACGGUACCUAAUCAGAAAGCCACGGCUAACUACGUG